UACGUAGGGUGCGAGCGUUGUCCGGAAUUAUUGGGCGUAAAGAGCUCGUAGGCGGUCUGUCGCGUCUGCUGUGAAAACCCGGGGCUUAACCCCGGGCCUGCAGUGGGUACGGGCAGACUAGAGUGCGGUAGGGGAGACUGGAAUUCCUGGUGUAGCGGUGAAAUGCGCAGAUAUCAGGAGGAACACCGGUGGCGAAGGCGGGUCUCUGGGCCGUAACUGACGCUGAGGAGCGAAAGCAUGGGGAGCGAACAGG
rnacentral:rRNA from 1 species